CGGAACUGUUAACUACGGCCAGUUGACUGCUCCGGACAAACGCGUACGUAUUUAUCGGACAGGCGGUAAAACUACAUUGAGUCUCUUUUGGUUCCGCACAGGCCCAAAUGAAAGACAAAAACAUGUGUCAACAGCUGCAGGUGUGCAAACAGGGAGAUAAGAUAAAACGAUAGAAUAUGCAGCUGUCACUUCUUUGAUGGGGACAAAGAACAUGGCCAACCAGUUUUGUUUACAGCAAAAAACAUUGACAGUUUACCAGAGAUACCUGCACCAAAAAGAUACAAAAAGACAAAGGUAGAUGAUACUAUGAAUUCAGAGUUAACCAAUGAUGAUGGAGCUGUUUAUGAUGAAGGAAGCUAAUCUUCUCAUGAUCACAGAUACGACCUGCAAACCCCAGAAUGUGAUCGUGUUUCUGUUUGAGAUAAUGCAGUACACAAUAAAGUUAAAGAAUAUGAGAGGCAGAUUGCAGCUCUAGAAAGUGAAAACCAGACUCUCAAGACAGGACAGUAUUCAUUACACAGACAGGAUGGGAUUGGUUGGUGGUCAUCAAACUUGAUUAGUGAGUUUUCUUCGGGUUCUCCAGUUUCCCUCACAAAACAAGAACAUGUCGAGCAACAUUGUGCCAAAAUAUGACUUAGUAUCAGUAAAUAUAACUUGAUUUCACAAUUUUUGUAAGCAUUUAAACUAGAGGGGAGUUUUUAAAUACCAGUAUUGUACUUUACCCUUUCGUAGAGCAUCAAAAUACAGAUGAUUCCAGAUAAAACGUUUUGAGGUCCUGGCACUAGUAGGAAUUACUUAUGAGACCAUUUGUGUAAGUACAGCAUGAUUACAAAUAACACACUUCCGUCGUUACAACCCAUAAGUUCACAAUACAUUGAUUUGACGGAAUAUCUGUUAAAAUGCUAUAACCUUUCUUAUUUCAAUAUUUUUUCAACCUGAAAGUAACUUUAUAUAUUUCCUGAAACUUUCAUGGAUAUCUUAUGUUUUAUUACAGUCAGAUGCUGUUGUACACAUAAAUGACAGCAGAUGUAUUACAAGUACUUGCCAACAUGCUUCAGAUGUGUCACUCUUCUGGUUGGACAGUCAGCUGCUUAAGCAUUGAUGCUUAACUAAUUAAUUACAGUGUUCACAAUGACAAACAUUUCUAUCAAGCAAAGGACAUUUUACAAAACAGGAGGCAGAACUUUGUUUCAAGAUAGAAAGAAUUAGACUUCAUGCUGAGAGAGCAAAUGAAAGAACUAAAAACAAUGAUUUUUAAAGCACAUACCAGCCCCGUACAGACAUUUGUCUUCUCAAUCUUCAGGCAGCAUUGUAAAAGGAAAUUGCAGAUCAAUAUAUUUUUAUUUAAAUUAAAACAAAAGUCUUUAGCCAGGAGAUAUAAUAUUCUAGAAAUGAACAAUGUUUAUUGCUUACAGUUAUACUGUACAACUUUUGUUGUCAUGUGAUAAUAUGUGGAAACAUGUAACUAUACUUUAAUAAGCUUUCCUCUACACAAAAGGCAACCAUCUGUCCAGGUUUCUUUUAAUUUUUUUUAUUUAUUUCAUAAAUACAUUUAGACCAGUGUAUUUGUUUGCAUUUACAAAUAAAGUAUCAGAAAAGUUGUUACAUAUUUCUUCCGAAACUCUGUUUAGCAACCUUCCGGCUAAGAUGUCGACAACACAUGAACAUUAAUAAUAAGUAAAAGUCUGUGUUUGGUGUUUGUAUUUGUGUAUGUAAUGUUAAGAUGUUUGUGCCUAUAGUUCAUUGUCGUUUGGGCUCCUGCCUUGUGCCCCUUAACAGGGGUUAUAUUUAAAUUAUCGACUCUUUUGUACCGGAAAGAAUACAAACCAAAAACUCUUAAUAGACUGCUCAUCAACUACACACAAAAACAUAAAUCAUUCGACAAUAAAUUAUAUGGUGUGAUCUAGCUUACCGGCCUCUAGCGCACAUAAUGUGGAUAGGUAUCACGAUAACCUAGUUAACCGGCGUCUAGCGUACAGAACUGUGAUAGGUAUCACGGUAAUAUUCUAGCUUACCGGCAUUUAGCGCACAGAGCGAGGAUAGGUAUCACGGUGAUCUAGUUAAACGGCGUCUAGCGCACAGAACGGUAAUAGGUAUCACGGUGAUCUAGUUAAACGGCGUCUAGCGCACAGAACGGUGAUAGGUAUCACUGUGAUCUAGUUAAACGGCGUCUAGCGCACAGAACGGUGAUAGGUAUCACGGUGAUCUAGCUUUACGGUGUGUAGCGCACAUAACGGUAAUAGGUAUUACGGUGAUCUAGCUAACCGGCGUCUAGCGCACAGAACGGUAAUAGGUAUCACGGUGAUCUAGCUAACCGGCGUCUAGCGCACAUAACGGUGAUAGGUAUCACGGUAAUCUAGUUAAACGGCGUCUAGCGCACAGAACGGUGAUAGGUAUCACGGUGAUCUAGCUAAACGGCGUCUAGCGCAGAUAACGGUGAUAGGUAUCACGGUGAUCUAGCUAUACGGUGUGUAGCGCACAGAACGGUAAUAGGUAUCACGGUGAUCUAGCUAACCGGCGUCUAGCGCACAGAAUCACGCUGACUUAGCUAACCGGCGUGUAGCGCACAGAACGAGGUUAGGUAUCACGGUGAUCUAGCUUUACGGUGUGUAGCGCACAUAACGGUAAUCGGUAUCACGGUGAUCUAGUUAACCGGCGUCUAGCGCACAUAAUCACGCUGACUUAGCUAACCGGCGUGUAGCGCACAGAACGAGGAUAGGCAUCACGGUGAUCUAGCUUUACGGUGUGUAGCGCACAGAACAAUGAAAGGUAUCACGGUGACCUAGCUUACCGGGAUCUAGUGCACAGAACGGUGAUAUGUAUCACGGUGAUCUAGCUUACCGGCGUCUAGCACACAGAACAUGCUUAGAUAUCACGGGGACCUAGCUAAACGGCGUCUAGCGCACGGAACGGUGAUAGGUAUCACGGUGACCAUGCGUAAAGGCGUCUAGCGCACGAAACGGUGAUAGGUAUCACGGUGAUCUAGCUAAAAGGCGUCUAGUGCACAAAACGGUUUGGUAUUACGGUGAUCUAGCUUAACGGCGUUUAGCGCACAGAAUGGUGAUAGGUAUCAUGGAGAUCUAGCGUAAAGGCGUCUAGCGCAAUAAACGGUGAUAGGUAUCACGGUGACCUAGCUUACCGGCGUCUAGCGCACAGAACGGUGAUAUGUAUCACGGUGAUCUAACCUACCGGCGGUUACGCAAAGAACGGUUUGGUAUUACGUUGAUCGAGCAAAAGCUAAUAAAUGAUGUAACACCGUUCAGAGAAAUAAAGAACAAGCCCAGGACACAUGAUUACGAUCAGUCUCGUUCAGAUUCUGAACAGUUUUAUUAAAUAACAUCAUUAUCUUUGCCCACUUCUUUUUUCAUUUAGUAAUGUAAUUCAGCAAAGUGUACCAUCAUUACCCUGCAUAGAGAAUAGUUACAAUAAAAUAAGGAUAUGCAGUUUUGAGACACGAGUCUGAACUCAGACUCGAGACUGUUUGUAAUUGUGGGCCUUGUUACGUUAAAUAAAUUAAGAUACUUGUUUUAAGAUAUCGAGGCAAAACAUACACAGAAAAUAAAGCUACAACGCUACAGGACAAUAACCAAUACACAAUUAUCUAUCAGACUAUCGUAAUUGGUAAAUGUUGAAUACUCGCAUUGCUAUUGGUAUUGAAAGUGAAACUAAGGAAAAAUUUAUUAUUGUGGACUUAAUCCACUAUUGCAGUUAUUUGAACAAUAAUGAGUUAUGUUCCGUCUAUUUAAAGA